rnacentral:rRNA from 1 species
CUACGGGACGCUGCAGUGGGGAAUAUUGCACAAUGGGCGCAAGCCUGAUGCAGCCAUGCCGCGUGUAUGAAGAAGGCCUUCGGGUUGUAAAGUACUUUCAGCGGGGAGGAAGGGAGUAAAGUUAAUACCUUUGCUCAUUGACGUUACCCGCAGAAGAAGCACCGGCUAACUCCGUGCCAGCAGCCGCGGUAAUACGGAGGGUGCAAGCGUUAAUCGGAAUUACUGGGCGUAAAGCGCACGCAGGCGGUUUGUUAAGUCAGAUGUGAAAUCCCCGGGCUCAACCUGGGAACUGCAUCUGAUACUGGCACGCUUGAGUCUCGUAGAGGGGGGUAGAAUUCCAGGUGUAGCGGUGACAUGCGUAGAGAUCUGGAGGAAUACCGGUGGCGAAGGCGGCCCCCUGGACGAAGACUGACGCUCAGGUGCGAAAGCGUGGGGAGCAAACAGGAUUAGAUACCCUCGUAGUC